CCUACGGGAGGCAGCAGUGGGGAAUAUUGGGCAAUGGAGGCAACUCUGACCCAGCAACGCCGCGUGAAUGAUGAAGGUCUUCGGAUUGUAAAGUUCUGUGAUGGGGGAUGAACACAAUGACGGUACCCCAAUAGCAAGCCACGGCUAACUACGUGCCAGCAGCCGCGUUAAUACGUAGGUGGCAAGCGUUAUACGGAAUGACUGGGCGUAAAGGUGCGUAGGUGGUUUAGUAAGUUGGCGGUGUAAUUCCCGGGCUCAACAUCGGCGCUACCUCCAAAACUAUUAGACUAGAGUGCAGGAGGGGUAAGUGGAAUUCCUAGUGUAGCGGUGGAAUGCGUAGAUAUUAGGAGGAACAUCAGGGGCGAAGGCGACUUACUGGACUGUAACUGACACUGAGGCACGAAAGCGUGGGGAGCAAACAGGAUUAGAUACCCUUGUAGUC
rnacentral:rRNA from 1 species